UACGGAGGGAGCGAGCGUUGUUCGGAUUCAUUGGGCGUAAAGGGCAUGUAGGCGGCGCUGUAAGUCGGAUGUGAAAUCCCACUGCUUAAUGGUGGAACGGCAUUCGAAACUGCAGCGCUCGAGUUCAGGGGAAGAGAGUGGAAUUCUCGGUGUAGCGGUGAAAUGCGUAGAUAUCGAGAAGAACACCGGUGGCGAAGGCGGCUCUCUAUCCUGAAACUGACGCUGAGGUGCGAAAGCCAGGGGAGCGAAC
rnacentral:rRNA from 1 species